GGAUGAGAUCAUACCAGCACUAAAGCACCGGAUCCCAUCAGAACUCCGAAGUUAAGCGUGCUUGGGCGAGAGUAGUACUAGGAUGGGUGACCUCCUGGGAAGUCCGCGUGUUGCAUUCC
rnacentral:rRNA from 1 species